rnacentral:rRNA from 1 species
GUAGGUGGCAAGCGUUGUCCGGAAUUAUUGGGCGUAAAGCGCGCGCAGGCGGUUCUUUAAGUCUGAUGUGAAAGCCCACGGCUCAACCGUGGAGGGUCAUUGGAAACUGGAGAACUUGAGUACAGAAGAGGAAAGCGGAAUUCCACGUGUAGCGGUGAAACGCGUAGAGAUGUGGAGGAACACCAGUGGCGAAGGCGGCUUUCUGGUCUGUAACUGACGCUGAGGCGCGAAAGCGUGGGGAGCAAACAGGGAUUAGAUACCCUGGUAGUCCACGCCGUAAACGAUGAGUGCUAAGUGUUAGGGGGGUUUCCGCCCCCUUAGUGCUGCAGCUAACGCAUUAAGCACUCCGCCUGGGGAGUACGGCCGCAAGGCUG